ACCCAUAGAGAUUAAUAGUAAUAGAAAGGAAAUAGUAAAGUAAUUAGAAGAAAAACGCUACUCUUCGUGAGUGGGAAAUGUAUAAUUGUACCCAAAUUGUAGAAAAUGUCAGUAGAUAGGCUACGCAUGAAAAACAACACUUGCAUGUGCAGACAUGCUGGACACACAGAUCCUUUUCAGGGUUCACGCCGCACUUUCCAUUCGCUCUCAGCCCUGUGAUGAAGUUCUGCUCUUCCCUCACACCUUCUCAUCCUGUGGAUGGAAUAAGAUGCUUUCAAACGACGAUGCCCCGUGCAUCUCCAGCAAACAAGUGGUGGAAGGAUUUCGUGGAUGUGAUUUCUAAUCGAGGAUGCUCGUUUAUCCGUUUCACAUCCAGAUGAGCGGUUUUUCGAUGCCAUGAGGAGUCCAAGGAGAAUAGGCAGCUGGAGCUCGGAGUCGCCCGCAGGAGGAAGCGGAGGCAGCGCUGCCUCAUGAGGCUGAUGCAACAUGAGGGAUGGAAGACAAAUGAAGGAUGCUACAGGAAUCAUGGGAGAGAUGAGAUCUAGAUUCUUUCAGAUCACAAACAUCAAUCAGAGAAGAAGAUGCUUCAAUCAAAUGGUAAAAAAUAUCAUCUAAAUAAAAAAAUGUUUUUAUGUCAUAUGUAUAAAAUGAAAAAAAAAAAUAUUUGAUCCAAAUUAAUUAAUAUAUAUAUCUAUAUAUAUAUAUAUAUAUAUAGAUAUAGAUAUAGAUAUAGAUAUAUAUCUAUAUCUAUAUAUCUAUCUAUAUAUCUAUAUAUAUAUCUAUAUAUAGCCUAUAUAUUUAUCAAUAUUUUAGAAAUUUUACAAAUGUAAGGUUUGAAAACAUUGGAAACAUAUUUAUAACACAAUGCAUAUUGUUUUUUUUUAAAUAUGUAUAUGCAUUUAUAUUUUCAUGAUGAUAUAUAAAGAUUAACACAUUUUUAAAUAAACAAUUAUAUUUGAUCAAAAUAUGUCAAGUUUCUUUCUUCAUGCCACUGUCUCAAUCUAUCAACUCAAUGCUCCAAAUAUCACAGAUCAUAAAAGCAUGUCAGUUUGCAUGAAUGAGUGAUAUGAGUGUAGCCCUCAUAACUCCAUACACACAAUAUGUAACAAAACCCAUUGAAGCAAAAGGCUUUAGUUUCCAUGAUUAGUGGGUAAACUUGUGUUUUGCUACUUUGUUUUGCUAAUCAUAUUCAGGUUAUUUAGCGGGAGUGGCAUUCUUAUUCUAGAGAGUGUUUGAUUGGACAAAAAUGUGCAUAUAUUUAUUCCAUUCACCCCCCCCCCCCACACACACACACACAGAAGAUAACAGUUUUAAAUGUAUGUGGUAAAUGUAUUGUAACUCUUUAAGCUUUAAAUAAAAAUGUAUUACAAAUUGUGCAGCAAAUAAUAUAAUCGUUUACAUAAACUUUUAGAAACAUGACUGUGUUAUGGUAGACUAUUCAAAUUAUUGUCAUUAAAAUGAAAAGGGAUACCUAGAUAAUUAACACGGGGUUAUAAAUGAUUAGUCAGUAUCAGCAUCAUUAAGUUGAGGGCUCUAGUGUCCGGUCAGUCCUCAUGUUAACAGCCUCCUCUCAUCUUCUCAGGAGGCCCUUGUUAGACGAGUUGCUGCUAAAAUGAAUUAACGUGAUUCACAAUCUACUCCACAGCCUGCAGCUGAAGAGAACCAUCAUGUCUCUUCAUAAAGACUCUGUCUGUCCAAUCAGUGUUUCUGAAUGCAGUCUUAUAUUUGCUCUCAUUACAAGCCGAUUAUGAUCAAAUAACCAGCAGAAGUUAACAACGCUCUUCCAGUAAUUAGCUUACUUCUCUUAUAAAUGGAGAAGCCAGCGGUGAGCAGCACAUUAGCUGUCUCUGGAGCAAUGUGUGCAUGUUUUGUCUUUGUGUAUUACUGAAAUAAUUAUGUUUUUGAAUCUGUUUAUCUGCCUAAAUGUUCUAAAGUGGAACAUAUUCGUUGUAUUUCAGGAAAAGUCCAAACGUAAUAGCUUAUUUCAGCUUGGUGUAAAAUCUGACUAUGAACUGUACAAAUGUUAGCCGUUAAUAUUUAUGCUAAUAUGUGGGCUAUUUAAUGCAUCAUGAAACCCCCUCUAUAUUGAUACUGAACAAUCACGCCUCAGGUUUAGAAAAGGGCUCAAUACAUUUUUCCAAAUUAUCAUUUUCAUGCCCUACCCAUUACCCAGCAUGCAUUGCAAAGUUGGGGGCAUGUUUACAGAUAAAUCUUACAUGUUUGUAUGAGUGUUGUGUCUUACAAAUCAAUUUCGCCAUGUUUUGUAAUUAUGCCACAUUAAUGGGUGACUGACAGCAAUAAUUUUUGUCAUAUAUUAUGUUAUUAUAUUAUUAUAUCUUGAAUGAUCAACAUAUAGUCAAUAUAGGUUUAAAAAUAUCAAUAAAAAUGUGAUAAUGUCAA